rnacentral:rRNA from 1 species
GAUAACCGCUGAAAGCAUCUAAGCGGGAAGCGAGCCCUGAGAUGAGUUUUCCCUGGCGCUUUAAGCGUCCUAAAGGGUUGUUCAAGACUAGAACGUUGAUAGGCAGGGUGUGUAAGCGCUGUGAGGCGUUGAGCUAACCUGUACUAAUUGCCCGUGAGGCUUAACCAU